rnacentral:rRNA from 1 species
UACGUAGGGGGCAAGCGUUGUCCGGAAUCAUUGGGCGUAAAGAGCGCGUAGGCGGCCAGAUAAGUCCGCUGUGAAAACUCGAGGCUCAACUUCGAGCUGUCGGUGGAAACUAUUUGGCUAGAGUCCGGAAGAGGAGAGUGGAAUUCCAGGUGUAGCGGUGAAAUGCGUAGAUAUCUGGAGGAAUACCGGUGGCGAAGGCGGCAUCCUGGACCAUAACUGACGCUGAGGCGCGAAAGCUAGGGGAGCAAACGGG